UUGAGAAUAGCCACUGGGUAGUUGUGGUGUUUGUGUUGGAGCUCUCUUCGCUCCAAGUCCGAAAGGAGGUGAUAACAGACCUUAGCGGCUACUUCAUGGAUACCUCUGCCUUCUUCUGUUGGGGUGCCAUGCACAAGAGAAGUCAGAGGUUUGCAUGAAUUUGGUGAUAAGGUCAAUUGCCUUUAAUCUUUUUGGUAUUGGAGUGAAGGGAGCGCCACCGAACCAUUAGCUUCGUGUAUCUAUGCAUUAGUUUGUAACAGACAGCAAGCAACAGGUUUCACUAAUCAAGUUUCGGUGCCAAUUGAUGUCUUAAAAGAAGACGACAUGAUGACUACUUUUGGAGACAAUUUCAAAAGGAGGCGACACACAAGAUGCCAUUGAAAACAUGCCAAAUUCAUAACCUCCAAGGCCUCAAGGGUAAUUAGUAAUUACCAUUCCAUAGUGCCUUCUUUUUCAAUGUAAAACCAUCAUUCUUUCAAAGGUGCUCUAGUUUUACUUAGCUGAUUGUCAUUUAUGAAAUUAUAUCACCAAAUUAUGUUAA